GACGAACGCUGGCGGCGUGCUUAACACAUGCAAGUCGAACGAUGAAGCCGGAGCUUGCUCCGGUGGAUUAGUGGCGAACGGGUGAGUAACACGUGAGCAAUCUGCCCUUGACUCUGGGAUAACUGCGGGAAACUGUAGCUAAUACCGGAUACGACACCUUGGGGCAUCCCAGGGUGUGGAAAGAAUUUCGGUCAAGGAUGAGCUCGCGGCCUAUCAGCUAGUUGGUGAGGGGCUGGCUCACCAAGGCGACGACGGGUCGCCGGCCGGAGAGGGGGACAGGCCACACUGGAACUGACACACGGUCCAGACUCCUACGGGAGGCAGCAGUGGGGAAUAUUGCACAAUGGGCGAAAGCCUGAUGCAGCAACGCCGCGUGAGGGAUGAAGGCCUUCGGGUUGUAAACCUCUUUUAGCAGGAAAGAAGCGAAAGUGACGGUACCUGCAGAAGAAGCACCGGCUAACUACGUGCCAGCCGCCGCCGUAA
rnacentral:rRNA from 1 species